rnacentral:rRNA from 1 species
GUGAUUUUGAGCGGAGGACACAUUUGGAAACGAAUGCUAUACCGCAUAAAAACUUUAAACACAAGUUUUAAGUUGAAGAUGCAAAUUGCAUCACUCAGAGAUGAUCCGCGUUGUAUAGCUAGUUGGUGAGGUAAAGGCUCACCAGGGCGAUGAUACAUAGCCGACCUGAGAGGGUGAUCGGCCACAUUGGGACUGAGACACGGCCCAAACUCCUACGGGAGGCAGCAGUAGGGAAUCUUCGGCAAUGGACGAAAGUCUGACCGAGCAACGCCGCGUGAGUGAAGAAGGUCUUCGGAUCGUAGAACUCUGUUGGUAGAGAAGAACGUUGGUGAGAGUGGAAAGCUCAUCAAGUGACGGUAACUACCCAGAAAGGGACGGCUAACUACGUGCCAGCAGCCGCGGUAAUACGUAGGUCCCGAGCGUUGUCCGGAUUUAUUGGGCGUAAAGCGAGCGCAGGUGGUUUAUUAAGUCUGGUGUAAAAGGCAGUGGCUCAACCAUUGUAUGCAUUGGAAACUGGUAGACUUGAGUGCAGGAGAGGAGAGUGGAAUUCCAUGUGUAGCGGUGAAAUGCGUAGAUAUAUGGAGGAACACCGGUGGCGAAAGCGGCUCUCUGGCCUGUAACUGACACUGAGGCUCGAAAGCGUGGGGAGCAAACAGGAUUAGAUACCCUGGUAGUCCACGCCGUAAACGAUGAGUGCUAGAUGUAGGGAGCUAUAAGUUCUCUGUAUCGCAGCU